AGUGAACGCUGGCGGUAGGCCUAACACAUGCAAGUCGAACGGCAGCACAGUAAGAGCUUGCCUUUACGGGUGGCGAGUGGCGGACGGGUGAGGAGUACAUCGGAAUCUACUUUUUCGUGGGGGAUAACGUAGGGAAACUUACGCUAAUACCGCAUACGACCUACGGGUGAAAGCAGGGGAUCUUCGGACCUUGCGCGAUUGAAUGAGCCGAUGUCGGAUUAGCUAGUUGGCGGGGUAAAGGCCCACCAAGGCGACGAUCCGUAGCUGGUCUGAGAGGAUGAUCAGCCACACUGGAACUGAGACACGGUCCAGACUCCUACGGGAGGCAGCAGUGGGGAAUAUUGGACAAUGGGCGCAAGCCUGAUCCAGCCAUACCGCGUGGGUGAAGAAGGCCUUCGGGUUGUAAAGCCCUUUUGUUGGGAAAGAAAAGCAGCAGGUUAAUACCCCGCUGUUCUGACGGUACCCAAAGAAUAAGCACCGGCUAACUUCGUG
rnacentral:rRNA from 1 species